CACCGAGAAACAUCCCUCCUGCCGUAUUUACAGCGUUCUAAAGCACAUAGAAUUUUGCCACUUGUAUGCAUCUCUUUGUUGGCAAAAAACAUCCUUUAUUUUCUAGCUACUACAAGGGCUUCUCUCUCUCUCUCUCCCCCUUUUGUUCUUUUAUCUAUUUUUAAGCACGAGCCUCAGUCAUCUUGAGCAAAUACUUUGAAUGCCUCGAAGGUGCAAUUCUUGGAAUUACACUGAGUACAAGUCGUUGCCUCCUGGAGAUAAAGUAAAGGACUUGCAGUACUUAUUUAGUCUAAACAGUUCAGGUGUUUGUAUUUCCUAUCUGGACUAUCACCAACUACUCAUCAAAACACAUCUAGAAAUUAAUGAGUCAGCUGCAUGUGGACGAAAUUUUAUGGGCAAAUUAAGCUGUCACCGGCCUUUUGGUGAUUGUAUUCAAACACUUGUUCGAGUCAGUUUCGAGGUAUGUUUUGAUAAAUAGCUCAUAAUUCAGAUAGUAAACACAAACACUUGACAGUUUAGAUAGAAAAUUCGCAAAAGAGUAAUCCUUUACAUAUGUUUUUACCAUAAUCUUUU